GUGCGAAAAGAUGUCUGUGUGUACAAUAACACUGAGUACAAGGUUGGCAUCUAUUAUUUCACAUGUAAAACUUUGAACUGUCGUCAAGUUAAUGGCUCAUUUGUGACAGAGAUGACCACAACUCCGUGUCCUUACAUGAGUUCACAGGACUGUGGGCCUGGCUCUGAUUAUGUGAAAAAAUCAGAAGAUUGUUGUGGAACAUGUGUGCAAACAAAAUGUACUUACAUGAAAGACAACACCACAUAC